rnacentral:misc_RNA from 1 species
UACGAAGGGGGCUAGCGUUGUUCGGAAUUACUGGGCGUAAAGGGCGCGUAGGCGGCCCGUCAAGUCAGAUGUGAAAGCCCUGGGCUCAACCUGGGAACCGCAUUUGAGACUGGCGGGCUUGAGUUCCGGAGAGGUGGGUGGAAUUCCCAGUGUAGAGGUGAAAUUCGUAGAUAUUGGGAAGAACACCGGUGGCGAAGGCGGCCCACUGGACGGACACUGACGCUGAGGCGCGAAAGCGUGGGGAGCAAACAGG